rnacentral:rRNA from 1 species
UCGUAUGGUGACAAGUCUCGUUAAUUCAGUAAAACGAGCGCGAUCUUAGUUGCAUAGAGGGGGUCUUUGCGGCCAUUCUUUGUGCUGUAAGUGACUCUCUCCAUCCGUCUCUUGUGAGAUGGUGGAAUUGCAAGACAUUCGGUGUAAGGCAUGACGCCUGUAAUCGUAAGGAGGAGUAAGGCGAGAAUA